GAUCAUGGCUCAGGAUGAACGCUGGCGGCAGGCUUAAUACAUGCAAGUCGAACGGUAAGGCCGAGCGUAGCAAUACGUGAGGUACACGAGUGGCGCACGGGUGCGUAACGCGUAUGCAAUCUGCCCCCGACCGGGACAAAACAGCUGGAAACGGCUGCUAAUAUCCCAUGGUCAUGAGAGACGGCAUCGUUUUUCAUGUAAAGAUUCAUUGGUCGGGGAUGAGCAUGCGUAUUAUUAGGUAGUUGGUGGGGUAACGGCCCACCAAGCCGACGAUGAUUAGGGGUUCUGAGAGGAUUAACCCCCACACUGGAACUGAGACACGGUCCAGACUCCUACGGGAGGCAGCAGUAGGGAAUAUUGGGCAAUGGAGGCAACUCUGACCCAGCCAUGCCGCGUGAAGGAAGACGGCCCUAUGGGUUGUAAACUUCUUUUGCCGCAGAGUAAACCCGGUCACGUGUGGCCGGUUGAGAGUAUGCGGCGAAUAAGUAUCGGCUAACUCCGUGCCAGCCGCUGC
rnacentral:rRNA from 1 species